rnacentral:tRNA from 1 species
GGUCGCGUAGUUCAGUUGGUUAGAACGCCUGUCUUACAAACAGGAGGUCCACAGUUCGAGUCUGUGCGCGACCA